CGAAAUCGAUUUGGGCGUACACCGCAUUGCUGAAUGCUGCAUGCUACGUGGACCCUAUAGCUAUUUUGAGUCAUUAUCAACGUGAUACCCUGUUGGAGUAGAAGCAACGGAGUUUGCUCUUGAUCAACUACUGAAACUUAUUACAAGUUGAACGUUUUAGAUUGCUUUUUUAUUAGAUCUACUGGCUUACUGCAACAAAGUAGUUAGAUAUUAUUAUUAUCCAACCUCGGCCAUGCCACAAGCUUACAUCUGCUCUUGGAUGGAAUUGGAAGUGCAUGAAGUUAUACCACCACUCGUAUACGUUGACAAGAAGAGUUCAGAAUCAGAUAUGUCCACUGUAGUAGCCUUAUCGGAGAUAUCUGGGAGUGAAGACCAAACGAGCAUUAUGUUGAAAAAGGUUAUUAAAUUGAAGAGGCGUUACAGGGGAAAGCGAAAACCAAAGGUAAAGGAGAAUCGUCGACGAGCAAGACCAGGAAGGUCCCGAAGCGGUUUUCCAGCAAUCGGCGCACCAUUUAACAAUAAUGAAUUUUUGAUCAACCAGAAUGAGAGAGAUGCCAUGAUAAUUGAUGGGAAACAGAAGUGCACAGCCACAGUAAUGACGCAUGGUAAAAGUGAUAUGGACUACUACAACGAAGCCAACGAGGAACAAAAUUUCCUUCACCAUUGCAGUGACAAGGAGGAUAAUAAUUGUGCCACCACUUGCUCAGAAAUGAUGGCUAAGACUUGCUAUGGACAAGAUUCUUCUCCACAUUGCACAAGCAGUAAGAGCAAUGAAACAUCUGACUAUGAUAGCCUGCAUUCCCCUUCUGAAUCAAGCAGUGGCUGCAGCAGUCAUUGCGAAACUGAACAUGCCAAAGACAACAUUUUAAACGAUGAAUUGUUUGACAUUGAUUUCGCGCUGCGAAACUUUGAAGCAGAUUACUCGGCACAUCAAUGGGAGCUGAAAGAACAGUUGAUAACUCUUCCAAGGCAGCAGUUAGAAACCAGAUGUUCACUACUUAUGGACCAAUUGAAAGAUCUAGAGGAGAGAAGCCAGAACAUGCAGAUGAUGCAUGGAGUCAGUCGGGUCAAGGAGUUGGAACUGGAGCUGGAGUUACUGAGGGAGGAGAACAGGAGGUUGAGAGGCGUCGCUGCAAACAGUCCGACAGCAGAAUGAAAUAAUGAGGGUGAUACUUAGCAAGGAGGAAAAAUUCCAGUUGGAUUUCUCAUGCCAUCCUGACGUAGACUGAAGUUCUGCCCUUCGUAUUUUUGCAUGGAAUGUGGCAGUCAUGGAGACCUGAAUUUUCUACUCUACACACGGACAUGACUCGGAAAAGGAACUCCAGAGGUCUACAUGUACAUGUAGCAGUACGACCGAGCAGAUGGGAACUCAUAUCACAUGGACUGGUCAUGGCUAGUUGCUCUCACCAAUGACCAAGGUACAUAAACUAGAGUGUAUCAACUAUCAAGAGAGCAACAUCAACUUAUCCAGUCCUUUUUAUUUUGUGAUUUUUAUUUUUUAAGAUUGUGACUUCCAUGAUCUCCACAUUAUAACCGUCAUAUAUUAUGUGCAAUUUCAAAGUUAUCAUCGUGAACGAGGUUCUGAUUUUUACUUUUCAGUGGAAGCUUAAAAUUGGCCCUUAAAUUCUCUUUAGUUAAAAAAAAAAAAAGUUUUUUGAAAGGGGGGGGGGGUAACAAUUAUCAACAAAAUAUUCAUAUUAUUUUGAAGGCUUAUUCCUUAUUGAUUGAAGUAGAAGUAGAAGAUCUGACCCCAUUUGUAGGGGACCAUUACAUUUCCUUCAUUCUUUGUGUAUUUGGAUUGGAAUAUUUUCACCCUCUACAUUCUUUUGUCACCUACAGAUGGCUUCCAGAGAGUGGCGACACCAUCACAGAAGUUGGCAACACUUCUCAUGGUAUCAUGGUAUAAUUGCAUGUCCUUUCAUAUUUUUCUCAGUUACUAUGAGGUCAUAGCCACCUUUUUACAUUGAUAGAGAAACUAGUAGAUCAUCAGUACUUGUAUUUUCAUCCUAGGUCUUUUUAACACUGAAAAGUAAGGGUUAGGGUGGGUUUUUAAAAAAAAUAGCUAUUAAUAUAUCACCAAACUAUGUAAAACUUUGAUUUCUGUAUGUGAUGUUAACUGCUGUGACUCAUGUUGGAAUUGAUAAUCAUUAGAUUUUUUUUUUAAACUUCCACACAAAGUAAGCAUUUACAAUUUUACAUGUUCAUGUUUUAUGUGUUUGUGACUUUUGUUUUAUGUACAUUGCCAUAUCCAUAAUUGUGAAAUUUAUGAGUUAUUAAAGUUUCAGAUAUUUAUCAAUUAAUUAAAA
rnacentral:lncRNA from 1 species